CACCUCCCAGGUUCAAGAGAUUCUCCUGCCUCAACCUCCCGAGUAGCUGGGACUACAGUCACGUACCACCAGUAAUUUUUUAUAUUUUUAGCAGAAACGGGGUUUCACCACGUUGGCCAGGCUGGUCUUGAACUCUUGACCUCAAGUGAUCCAUUCACCUUGGCCUCCCAAAGUGCUGGAAUUACAGGUGUGAGCCACCGCACCUGGCCUGUGUAUUUACCUUGUAUGCUACUACAUUGCUGAUUUCAUUUAUUAGUUUUUUUUUUUUUAAUUCUUUUUUAAAAAAGAAAAAACAGACACAGUCUCGCUCUCUUGCUCUGUCGCCCAGGCUGGAGUGCAGUGGCACAAUCUUGGCUCACUGCAACCUCUGCCUCCAGGGUUCAAGUGAUUCUCGUGCCUCAGCCUCCCAAGUAGCUGGGACCACAGGUGCCCACCACCAUGCCUGGCUAAUUUUUGUAUUUUUUUGUAGAGAUGGGGUUUUGCCAGGUUUUGCCAUGUUGGUGAGGCUGGUCUCGAACUCCUGACCUCAAGUGAUCUGCACACGUCUGACUCCCAAAGUGCUGGGAUUAUAGGCACAAGCCACCAUGCCUGGCCUCAUUUAUUAGUUCUAACGUGUGUGUGUGCACACACGCUCUUUAGGCAUUUCUACUUAUAAGAUCCUAUCUGCAAAUAGAGAUAAUUUUACUUCUUUCUUUUCAAUUUUGAUGCCUUUUAUUUCCUUUUCUUGCCUAAGUGUGCCGGUUAGAACUUCUAGCACUGUGUUGCAUAGAAGUAAUGAAUGCAGACAUCCUUGUCUUGUUCCUAAUUUUAGAGGAAAAGCUUUCAGUUUUCACCAUUGAGUGUGUUGUGGCUUUUUCAUAUAUGAAUUUUAUUAUGUUGAGGUAGUUUUCUCUAUUCUUAGUUUGCUGAAUGUUUUUAAUCAUGAAAGCGUGUUGAAUUUUGUCAGUGCUUUUUCUCCGUUAACUGAAAAAAUCAUACAUUUUUGGAAAUGGAAAUGCAGCCACAUAUAAUGGCCAGCCUGGGCUCUCCUGGUGCCCACUUGCCCCAGCCGGCCUCUUACACCCCGGGCUCUGCUCCACUCUGAGGCUGCAGCCCAGACUGCCUGUGCCCCACACUUACCAUGGAUGCAGGGUCAGUGCACCCCUCUGGAGCUGACAGCCCAGCCUGUGCCCAGGACCUUUCUGCCUUCCCUUCCCGCCCUGUCCUGAGAGCUCACCGUGCCCUCUGUGGCCCCGACCCCAAGGCUUGUUUGUUUCUUGGCCUGCUCCUCCCUGCCCUGCGCCAUACGGAACACACAGUAGGUGCUCACUGGGGAGUGAAGGAAACGCCCACCACUGAGUGGCUGCUCAGGGGCUGAGAACCGAAACUUUGUUUAGGUUUUCUUCUGUAUUUUCCUUGCCUCAGGUUUAAACUUUUUUCUUAAUCUUUAUCUUCACAAAGGUUGAAAAAGAUCAUCUAGCAAAGCCUUUUUUCCCAGCUACAUAUAAGGAAUUUGAAAGUCACAUAAAAUGGUUAAGAAAAUGUGCCAAGAUUACCUCAGUAAUUCUGGUCUGUGUUCUCAGGAGACCCUGGAAAUAAACAAUGUGUCUUCUGUGGCUUCAGCGUCACCUAGUGCAGGCUGCCAUUCAACAAACGCAUUGUCAACAGUCAACCAAAAGAAACCCAUUGGCCACCAUACCCUGAGGACUAACCCUGACACAGAUGCCCUUCCAGAUGCCCUCAAUAGUCUAACUGAUUCCAUCGCCCCAGCCUUGGGGGAGAAGCACUGCUGCCUAUGCACUCCAUUUACAGGUGAGACUGGGAGAGGUUUAGGGAGUGGCCAAGUCCCCUGCCUACACAGCUGCCUCCCAAUCUAUCUUCUCACCCUCCCCCUUCUCAGGCUAAAAUCACACUCGAUGUUUUUAUGGGAUCAUUUGAUCUGGACAUUGUCAAAGAAAAAAUUGCACCAGACAAGUUAAACCUUCAAGGAAGGACUCAGUCAGGACUACUGCAAUACGGAAGAGAGGAGCUUAACUUCAUUGAAACAAAAGGCUGGGGAGUUUUUAAGUGCCGGGGUGAGAUGCUGAGAAGGAACUGGAGACAUCAGGAAGAGGUUAGGAAAUGCCGUAAAGCUAUCUGCGUUGGCUCAUUGGAAUUUUUCAAAACUGGGAAUCUGCCCUUCUACAAAAACUGAGACACAGAUGUAUCAUCUCCUUCAAUAAUUGCAUUUUAAAGGGAUGGCUCUGAAGUCUUGAGAAAGGCAUUCCUGGGUUGCAAAACUAGGAGGAGGCUAGAAGAAAAUUUGGGAGAAGAUUUGCCUCUCAAAGAGGUAGAGAAAGAACUCACAAUUGCAAGUUUCCUAAAAUAAAUCCUCCGUGAAAAAAGGAGGCCUGAUGGAUGGAACUGGAGGUCAUUAUGUUAAGUGAAAUAAGCCAGGCACAGAAGAAAAAUACUGCAUGUUCUCACUCACAUGUGGGAGCUUAAAACCUGGAUCUCAUGAAGAUAGAGAGUAGAUUGGUAGCUACCAGAGGCUGGGAAGGGAGAUAAAAAUAGUUUGAUUAAUGGGUACAAAUAAGUAGGGGUUUUUGUUUUUUUGGAGACAGAAUUCUGCUCUGUUGCCCAGACUGGAGUACAGUGAUACGAUCGUAGCUCAUAGUAACCUGGAACUCCUGAGCUCAAGUGAUCCUACCACCUCAGCCUCCCCAGUAGCUGGGACUACAGGUGCGUGCCACCAUGCCAGGCCGAUUUUUGUAUUUUUUGUAGAGACAGGGUCUCAGUAGAUUGCCCAGGCUGGUCUCAAACUCCUGGGCUCAAGCAAUCCUCCCGCCUUGCAAAUACAGAGUUUGAUAAAAGAAAUAAGACCUACUGUUCAAUAAAUCAGCAGGGUGACUGUAGUUUACAGUAAUCUAUUGUACAUUUCAAAAUAGCUAAAGAUAAGAAUUUAAAUGUUUCUAGCUUAACGAAAAGGCAAAUAUGUAGGGUGAUGAAUAUCUUGAUCACAAUGAUGUGAUCUUUACAAAUUGUGAGUGUAUUUAGUAAUCACAUGUACCCCCAACAUAUGUGCAUCAAUUAUGUAUCAAAAAAAUUAAAACUAAAAAAUAGACAAGGAGGUCGGGAGGAAAACUGUGUAACAGUCAAGCUGAGGGAAAUGUGAAGGCUGUCUUAGUCAACAGAUUUGCCUUUUUCCCUUUAAUCUGCUAAUUAUCAAUUGAUAUGGUUUGGCUCUGUGUCUCCACCCAGAUCUCACCUUGAAUUGUAAUAAUCCUCACAUGUGGUGGAAGGGAACUGGUGGGAGCUAACUGAAUUAUGGGGGUGGGUUUUUCCCAUGCUGUUCUUGUGAUAAGUGAAUGAGUCUCAGAAGAUGGUUCUAUAAAGGGCAGUUCCCCCUGCACAUAUUCUUCUGCCUACCACCAUGUAAGACGUGACUUUGCUCCUCUUUUGCCUUCUGCCAUGAUUGUGAGGCCUCCCCAGCCAUGUGGAACUGUGGAUCCAUUAAACCUCUUUCCUUUAUAAA